ACGGCGUCGAGCGGCGGACGGGUGAGUAAUGCCUGGGAAAUUGCCCUGAUGUGGGGGAUAACCAUUGGAAACGAUGGCUAAUACCGCAUGAUAGCUUCGGCUCAAAGAGGGGGACCUUCGGGCCUCUCGCGUCAGGAUAUGCCCAGGUGGGAUUAGCUAGUUGGUGAGGUAAGGGCUCACCAAGGCGACGAUCCCUAGCUGGUCUGAGAGGAUGAUCAGCCACACUGGAACUGAGACACGGUCCAGACUCCUACGGGAGGCAGCAGUGGGGAAUAUUGCACAAUGGGCGCAAGCCUGAUGCAGCCAUGCCGCGUGUAUGAAGAAGGCCUUCGGGUUGUAAAGUACUUUCAGCAGUGAGGAAGAUGGUGUGUUUAAUACGUACAUCAUUUGACGUUAGCUGCAGAAGAAGCACCGGCUAACUCCGUGCCAGCAGCCGCGGUAAUACGGAGGGUGCGAGCAUAAUCGGAAUUACUGGGCGUAAAGCGCAUGCAGGUGGUUUGUUAAGUCAGAUGUGAAAGCCCGGGGCUCUCCUCGGAAUACAUUUGAAACUGGCAGACUAGAGUACUGUAGAGGGGGGUAGAAUUUCCGUGUAGCG
rnacentral:rRNA from 1 species